GAGAAGGUGAGUGGGCACUCACAUAUUCUGCAAGUGAGUGGAAUUGUGCUGUGUUUAUAUGGUGUGAUUAUUUUUACAUGUAAUAUAAUUACUGUAAAGUUUUCAAAUUUAAUCCAGUCAGUUGUUUAAUUGUUUAAAGUAACUGUUCCAGUAACCUAGAAACACAAGUAACAUUUGACUCAUUUAUAAAUAUACAUGCAUACUCUGAAUAAAAAGCAAUUUUUGAAAUGGU